rnacentral:rRNA from 1 species
UACGUAGGCGGCAAGCGUUGUCCGGAAUUAUUGGGCGUAAAGGGAGCGCAGGCGGGAAACUAAGCGGAUCUUAAAAGUGCGGGGCUCAACCCCGUGAUGGGGUCCGAACUGGUUUUCUUGAGUGCAGGAGAGGAAAGCGGAAUUCCCAGUGUAGCGGUGAAAUGCGUAGAUAUUGGGAAGAACACCAGUGGCGAAGGCGGCUUUCUGGACUGUAACUGACGCUGAGGCUCGAAAGCUAGGGUAGCGAACGGGAUUAGAUACCCCAGUAGUCGUGACUGACU